UACAGAGGGUGCGAGCGUUGUCCGGAAUCACUGGGCGUAAAGGGCGCGUAGGCGGCCUGGUAAGUAGGGGGUGAAAUCUUGCGGCUCAACUGCAAGGCUGCCUCCUAAACUGCCGGGCUGGAGCACGGUAGAGGCUCAUGGAAUUCCGGGUGUAGCGGUGGAAUGCGUAGAGAUCCGGAAGAACACCGGUGGCGAAGGCGGUGAGCUGGGCAGUUGCUGACACUGAGGCGCGACAGCGUGGGGAGCAAACAGG
rnacentral:rRNA from 1 species